rnacentral:rRNA from 1 species
UUCACGGAGAGUUUGAUCCUGGCUCAGGACGAACGCUGGCGGCGUGCCUAACACAUGCAAGUGGAGCGACGAACCAGGCUUCGGCCUGGGGCAAAGCCGCGAACGGGUGAGUAACACGUGGGUAACCUGCCCCGAUGAU